CAGCCGACGCGGAAGAGCCAUAUGGCACCGAAGGAGCAAGCUCCCCGCUAACCUCUCAGGUCACAGGACCGCAGUCGGCAG
rnacentral:ncRNA from 2 species